rnacentral:rRNA from 1 species
CUACGGGGGGCUCCAGUGAGGAAUUUUGCGCAAUGGGGGGAACCCUGACGCAGCAACGCCGUGUGAGUGAAGAAGGCCUUUGGGUCGUAAAGCUCUGUCAACUGGGAAGAAGUUACUAUGCUUAAAUAGAGUGUAGUAUUGACGGUACCAGUGGAGGAAGCGUCGGCUAACUCCGUGCCAGCAGCCGCGGUAACACGGGGGACGCAAGCGUUAUUCGGAAGUAUUGGGCGUAAAGGGCGCGUAGGCGGUCUUGUCGGUCAGGUGUGAAAGCCCGGGGCUCAACCCCAGACGUGCACUUGAAACAGCAAGACUUGAGUACGGGAGAGGAAAGCGGAAUUCCUGGUGUAGAGGUGAAAUUCGUAGAUAUCAGGAGGAACACCGAUGGCGAAGGCAGCUUUCUGGACCGAAACUGACGCUGAGGCGCGAAGGCGUGGGUAGCGAACGGGAUUAGAUACCCGAGUAGUC